GAUCCGGUAGCUCAGUCGGUAGAGCACGUGACUUUUAAUCAUGUGGCCGUGGGUUCGAAUCCCACCCGGAUCACCA
rnacentral:tRNA from 33 species